UGGUUAAAACAGUACAUUGUUAGAUUGUGUGCAAAAUAAUAUUUAUCACUUUUUACUAAAAUGAUGUUUUGAAAAGCAAUUUCCAAUCUUUGUAUGAACUUCAACAAAAGAACACCCUUCUUUGAAAAUAUUUUCAUCAGAUUCAAACAUAUUUCCAUCAUAAUACUUUAAGACAUCUAGGACUAAAUUAUGAAACUCAGUUACAUUCUGCCAUAAUUUUUGUGGUAAAUAUGUGAUCUUUUUUGAUCGUAAUGUCUUUUUCUACAGCUGUUGUAGGGUCUUCUGGUGACAAUCACCAUAUCGUUAAAUAUACAGUAAGCAGCUAGAGCUGUUGAUUUUAUAAACUGUGUCAAGUCUAUUAUGAAGGGUCCCAAGACACUAAGUUUUUACCAUGAAAAAUUAAAUUGAUGCUCCUGAAGACUGAUGAGAGGCUGAAGAUCUCAGAGUUUGGGGCAUUUCUUCUGGUUCUUUAGCUUUCCUUCUUUUAAUUGGUUAUCCCAAGGCAUGGGAAGACAGAACGACCCAAUUUCAGAAAAUGAGUUGUAAUCACCAGGGAUUAUAUUUUUUUUUUCAACAGACAUUUCAGGAUAUAGUCUGAAAUCCUGAUGGAAAUAGCAGUGAAUAGCUCAUCAGCCUCCAGGAAGAUGAAUCUGAACCAUUUUCUGAGACAAAGACAAAUCAGGUUGUUUCUGUUAGCCCUGAUGUCUUGCCUUUGCAAAUGGCACGUUCAGUGUGAAAAAUGAGUCCAAAUCUCCAUACAGAACUGAGUGUGAUUCCACUGGGAAACUGGCAGAUUUUGCAGAAACCUGUGGAGCUGAAACCACUGAAUACAGCUCCAUUUGCCUUCUGGACUUCUCUGAUGAAAUCCCAAAGGAGGAACUAGAAAGUGCUAUAUGGUACCAGGGUUCCCUUCUGCAGACAAAGGCAUCCCUGACAGACAAUUCAAACUUGGAUAUUCAACACCAGGCAUGUGCAACAAUGACAACUGGAUUUUUGUUCUUGCUCCUCAUUCGUAUAUAAUUCCCUGCACAUUCAGAGGAUUACACACUGUUUAUGCAUCAUGCAAUCUCACUGAGUCCUGUUUCUUUACAGUACUUACUCCUGCUGCUAAAGGGAAAAUAGGCUCUAACAAUCCUCUUUUCGUGCCAAAGCUGCUGCUACUGAAUGAACACAUCCUGCCUGCAGUAGUCUGAUUGAUCCCUGCAAUCCCUGUAUCCAACAGAAGUUCAAAAGGAUUCUGCUGCUCCAAGGACUAAAAUUGGUAUUCGUUUAAGAUUUAUGGGCAAACUAAAGCUCCUUCAUGUAACAGCAGAUGCUGUUCUGCCUUUCAACUCCGCAGCACACCAAAGUGACACCGAACAAGUUCAAACCCUGGAUGGCCUUGACAACAUACUACACCUUAAGACUGCCAUUUCCUAGCUCAGAAUCCUCUUUAGCUCACAAGCAAUAGCUAAUGUCACUCAACUUAGACACAGCUUGCAGCUCCAUUCUGAAGCAGGACACAUACACCUGGAACCUGCUCAAAAUAAUAAAUUCUAAAUAAUCUAGCGCAUGGUAGCGCUUUGCACAGCUACUGUUAAGGCCACCUUUGCAGCUUGUCAAACCCCAUUGCUUUUAAAAGCUCAGUCCUGCUGCUAUGAAGUACAAUUCAUACAUCCUUAUAACCCCUUGCAGUGCUUGGGUAGGCUAAAAAGAUAGGCCUUAACAGAUUGCUUUGAAGAGUGGAGAAUUGAAAUGUUUUCCUGUAACAAAGACCUUUACAGGUUAUAUAUGAAGUGUGUGCUUAUGACCAACCUUAAGACAAAUAGAUGAUUAGACUAGAGGGACAUCAUUUUUAUAGCUUAUUUUAUAUUUUGAUGUGCCAUCCCCACACUCACAUGAUUCACUUUCUCUUUUUAAUUGCCUCUCUUCUGAAGAGACAAAGGACUACAAAAUGUAUUGUUUGCUAUGGUGGUCCAAAAUACUCAU